AGUUUCUUUUAAGUGCUGUUAUUGAAGCGGUAUGUCUAUUUAUGUGAGGGGAAUUACAGGAACGUAUUCAGGAUAAUAUAUAUAAACGUGUACAUAUAUCAAUUAUUUUGUGUAGGUAACUAAGUCUUAUGAAAGUUAUGAAACAUUUUUUUCGUAUUUAUUACAUACAUAUAUUAAGCGAGACAUUCGACAGCGCUGUGGUAUGACAGCCGAUUAGCAACCAAUAUGAAAACUUCCAUUGUUAAGUAAUUAUUACAUAUUUAAUUUAAAAGUACAUCAGCUUAAAGUAGUAAUGCACCUAUGACACUAUUAAGGAGGUUGGUAACUGAUGAUUUGAAAUUAAAUCUAAGUUUUAUUGGUUUCUUCUCACAUGCUGAGCAGGCAAACAACUAGGUUCAGUAUCUAUCGUAAGAAUUCUACUCACUCGUUUAUUUGAUUGCAAUUGUAGUUCUCAAGCCGAAUUCAGGCCCUAAUUAAUUUACCCGUGUUUGGUCAUGCAUAAGAAUUGCCCAGAUUAAGAAGUAAUUAUAAGUUCCUAAUAAUUUGAUGCUAAUAAACUGAAGGCAGUUAGAUGAAGAAACUGGACGCACCAUGGAAACUGGACGGGGGAUUUUGGUGUUCUUAGCCACGACCAUAUUGUGGUUAGCUCCCGGGCACGGCAUGCCAAACCGACGAUCCCUUAAAGAGUCCGAAGACGAGUGCGAAUCCGCUCACGACACUCUCUUAUGUGGCUCCAACGAUGUCACAUAUUUAAACCUAUGCGAGUUUCAAAAGGCUCUCGAUAAAGAUCCGACUAUAAAAAUUAUAGAAAAUGGAGCAUGUUUAUGUGAUCCAAUAGAAGGACAUGAAUGGGAUCCCUUAUGUGCGUCAAACGGUCAGUCCUACGCGAACAACUGCGACUUGGAAAAGGCAAGGAAGACUGAACAUUUGUCUAUACGGCAUCUUGGUUUAUGUAAUGCAAUGCUGAAGAGAGAUACGAUAACGUAUAGAGAACUACAAAAGGUAAAGUUGUGGAGUUCAUUCAUGCCCAAAAAACUUUUUGCUUCCCUUAGUAGCCGCGAUUUGGCUGAUGGACCUCGUGAUAUCAAAGCGAAAGAUGAAAAAAAACGUGGUAAA